AUUCAAUAUACAAAAACAAUGGUCCUGACUCUCUAAGAAGAAGAGACAUUCAGAGGAGCUUUGAGCACAAGACAAACGAUCGUUUUCUUGAGCAGUUCGGCGAUAACAGAAGACGUGUCAGUGCUUUCUGUGGCUCGACGAGGAUGUGUUCGUAGCCCUGCUUAGGACCUGAGAUUCUCCCGCUUACUAGAAGAAGUGAGAGCAGGCCAAGUAGAAUCGCUGCUUUGACUGUGGAGACCUGUGAGUCUCGAAGCAAACUGGUGGGACGCUCUCACAUAUAGAGUAUAAGAGGAGACUAAGAAAGGAUGAGAACCAUCCGUUGCGGAGUUACACGAGUGUACUCAUAGGCGGCAGUGAAAUAAGUCCUAGGUGGACAGCAGAUCCCAGACGACGCAGAACUUCUAGAAUCUGAAGAAGAGUCGAUCCCAAUAGUCGGGUGGUGGUCCGACCACAGGUCAUUAUGCUUCUGAUUACAACUUGUGGAGGGAGGCUAUUGGUUGCAAGACGAAGGACAAGGUCUACGGAUUAGGUUCUCAGGCGACGACCAACGCUGCUAUUCCGCUUAGCACAUCUGGUGCAUUGACUUUUGCUGCACACGAGGAGUCUCGUAGGUAGGUUGAUGCUUGGGUCUCCACCCAACUAGCCCAAAUAAGCUCGGAGAUGGAGCUGAAGAUGAAGAUAGAGUUCGAUGUGAUAGUGUGUUAUGCACGGUAAGGAUCAAAGCGGCUAGCUCAGGAUGUUGAUGACGAGGAUGAUGAUGAUGAGAGGACGG